rnacentral:rRNA from 1 species
CGGUACAGAGAUGUAUCUUUCCUUCGGGACAGAGGAGACAGGUGGUGCAUGGUUGUCGUCAGCUCGUGUCGUGAGAUGUUGGGUUAAGUCCCGCAACGAGCGCAACCCUUGAUCUUAGUUGCCAGCACUUCGGGUGGGCACUCUAAGGUGACUGCCGGUGACAAACCGGAGGAAGGUGGGGAUGACGUCAAAUCAUCAUGCCCCUUAUGACCUGGGCUACACACGUACUACAAUGGCCGGUACAACGGGCUGUGAAGCCGCGAGGUGGAACGAAUCCUAAAAAGCCGGUCUCAGUUCGGAUUGCAGGCUGCAACUCGCCUGCAUGAAGUCGGAAUUGCUAGUAAUCGCGGAUCAGCAUGCCGCGGUGAAUACGUUCCCGGGUCUUGUACACACCGCCCGUCACACCACGAGAGUUUAUAACACCCGAAGUCGGUGGGGUAACCGCAAGGAGCCAGCCGCCGAAGGUGGGAUAGAUGAUUGGGGUGAAGUCGUAACAAGGUAGCCGUAUCGGAAGGUGCGGCUGGAUCACCUCCUUU